UGGGGAAUAUUGCACAAUGGGCGCAAGCCUGAUGCAGCCAUGCCGCGUGUAUGAAGAAGGCCUUCGGGUUGUAAAGUACUUUCAGCGGGGAGGAAGGGAGUAAAGUUAAUACCUUUGCUCAUUGACGUUACCCGCAGAAGAAGCACCGGCUAACUCCGUGCCAGCAGCCGUGGUAAUACGGAGGGUGCAAGCGUUAAUCGGAAUUACUGGGCGUAAAGCGCACGCAGGCGAUUUGUUAAGUCAGAUGUGAAAUCCCCGGGCUCAACCUGGGAAAUGCAUCUGAUACUGGCAUCAUUCAGGCUCGUAGAGGAGGGUAGAAUUCCAGGUGUAGCGCGGAAAUGCGUAGAGAACUGGAGGAACACCGGUGGCGAAGACGGCCCCCUGGAAGAAAACUAACGCUCAGGUGCGAAAGCGUGGGGAGCAAACAGG
rnacentral:rRNA from 1 species